AUUACAGGAGCUGGAGAGGAAAAUUAUCAUCUAUUACCAUUAUUUUCUGGAUGAGUGGUAAUUACCCAGUAUUCUGGUUUUAGCAGUAGGAUGCUGUUCUGCAUUUGCUACUAUAAACUGGGAGCUUAACAGUUGACAUUAUUCUGUAAUUCUGCUGCAUCUUGCUUCUGAAAUUUGGAAUAGGUAGAGUGUAUGUUUUCGAAUUCGAACUUGUAGCUGAAAUGUUUUUGCAGUGGUUAUAUAAGAAAUACAAAGAUUAAGUGCUAACAACCCAUUUUUUGGAUAGGUUUCCUUGGCAUGAAGACAUAUCUUGUUAAAACAUAAAAACUUUUUGCAAACUUUCUACCAGGUUUUCUGCCCAGCAGAUAAAGGGAAGAAAGUGACUGUAGUGUUUCUGGAUUUUAGUAAGGCUUUUUUAAACAGUUUUUGAUGCUGUUCUUCACAGUAGCUGUCCGGACAAGCUCUCCAGUUGUGGGGUGAGCAAAUUAGUGGUGCACUGGUAAAAGAGAUAGCUGAAUGACAGGGCUCAUAGGAUUGUAGUAAGGAGGAGUGCAUCUGGGUGGCACCCCAUCACCAGUGUUGCUCCUCAGGGCUCAGUUCAAGGGCCAGCUCUGCUGAAUACUCUUAUCUGGAGACAGUAGUUGAAUGCACCAUUAGCAACUUUGCUGAAUGACACCAAGUUGAGUGGUGCAGUUGGCUCUCUCACGUUGGCUCUCUCACCGUGCAAGAGGGCUUGCAGAGGGAUCUAGAUAGAUUGGAGCAUUGGGCAAUCACCAGUGGCAGGACAUUUGACAAGAACAAAUACUGGGCUUUGCAGCUGGAACAGGAACUGGACACUAGUUUUACCUGGGAGAGAAGUGACUGCAGAGUAGUCAUACAGAGAGGGAUCUCAGGGUGCUGGGUGACAGCAAGCUCAGUGUGAGCCAACAUGUGCCCUGGCAGCCAAGAGGGCAAACUUCACCCUUGGAUGCACCUCACACAGCACAAGCAGUUAAGAUUGUCCAACUGUACUCAGCAUUGUCAUGGCCUUCCUGUGAGUAACUGUGUGCAGUAAGGUUACUAAGGCACUUAAAUACAACCAGAUUAGGGCAGCCAAGCUGGUGGAAGUGCUGGAAGGCCUGUCCUGUAAGGAGCAGCUGAGGACUCUGGGUUUGUCUACACUGGAGAAGAUAAAGUCUGAGGGGUGACCUCCUUGCUCCCGGUAGGUCCGUGAGGAAGGAGAUACUUAACCCUUCUUGCUGAGAUCCAUCCAUAGGAUGCAUGGGAAUGAUUCAGAGUUGCACCAAGAGAGGUAUAAAUUGGACAUUAGGAAGCAUUUUUUACUGGUAGGGUGGUCAAUGACUGGAACAGGCUUCUUAGAAAGGGGCUCAGUGUUUAAGAGGCAUUUGGACAAUACCCAUGGUACCAUGCUUUAAAUUUUGGAUUGAUCAGGCUGAGUCAGUAGUAGUCAUAGGUUCCUUCCAACUGAGCAGUUGUCAGUCACAGAGUAAAAGAUUUUAAGUUAUUUUUGUUGGCAGUCAGGACACUGCUUUAGAGGCAUGGCUAUGAUGCAUGUUGUGUGAGCAUCUCCAGUACUCAUGUACUGUAGGUUUUUAACUCCGUCUUACAUAGAGAAGGGUUUGAGUCGCAAGUGAUUAGUGUAUCCUUUUUCAACAAGAUUUGCUUGAAUCUAAAAUCUGUGCCAGCUUCGUGAGAAGUUCUUUUUGCAUUAUCUACAAUCUAGAUGUUUGCUAUGACUGUCUUAGGUCACUCGCAAAUCACAAAGCUACUCAUUUUCCAUUUUAACCCAUUAAGGAAAAAAGGUAUAAUGUAAAGUAAGAUUGGUAGAAAUAUUGACUUUACGAGUAGCAUGUAUUGCCUCUUCUUAUUUCAUAUUUUUGUUGUGUUUUAAAAGUUUAUUGUCUGCUAGGAUAUCCACAAUGCUUGUCAAAGUCUCAAUUGCUUAGCUUCUACUGUAGUGAAAACCAAAAGGUACAAUAUGUGAGAAACAACCCUAUUUUUCAUCACACUGUCACCUUAAAAGUUUUAGAAAUUUUUUUUACCUGGUGCUUUGAAGUGUAUGGCUUCUUUCUGUAUUGAAGAGUUAAGAACAGAUGAAAUAAAUUAAGAACAUGGAAAGGACUUUGUCUUGAAGUGAAAGGUGAAAUUUUUAGUUUUGGUGCUAGCCUUAGCUUUAAAUGAAAAAGUUGGCUAUUUUGUUCUGGGCUAAAGCACUUAAAUGCCUGAGGAAACAAUUGCUGCAUUUUCAUAUCGUAAUUGAAAGUGGAGGAAAUGGUCAUGUUGAUUAUUUCUUAUAACAUUAAAAAUUGGAGAACCUGGAAGAAGGGUAUGUACUUUAUCUCUUUCCCAUUCUUACAAUGUUACUUUUGCUACUCCAUUUCAAAAGGAGAUAUGUUUUAUACAUUGGAGUAUAGUGAAAAGAUUAACCAAGAUUGAAUGCUGUUGUGUGUUCUUUCAAGCAGGGUAUUUAAACAGGUUGUUUAAGUACACUAGGGUUUCAGGACAGAAUUUAAAGCUGAGAAUCUCAGCAUUGUAUUUUAUAUCUCUUACAAGAAAGUAAAAAUGGUGCCUAAAUGUGGGACAGAGAAGUCACAAUGCACAGUCUACAGUAGUAUAAUGUAUUAUACAUAAUCUGAUAGCAGUACUAUAGUAUCAUAGUAUAUUCAUAUUUUUUUUAGUAGCUCAGAAAUAUUCUGUGUUGAAGUUCUUGAAUGUUGUAAACAUGUUUUGUAGGCACCUAGCUUGUAAAUUCUGGAGUUUCUAAAUGAAUGACCUUUGCUUUUAGCACUAAGUACCUAGACACAAAUUCUUUUUUUUAAGUCCUAUAGCUUUCUUGUAGUUGUUUGCCAGUUACUGAAAGUGACUCUGUCAGCAUUCUGUAAAUGUGCCUUUGCACAGUGUUUGGUGAGUGGCUAUUGGUCUGAGUUCUGGAACUUGAGCAAGGCUUGUUCCAUGGGUUAAAGAGUACUUCUGGAAAGCUAAAUGGAAUGGUUCAUUUUGUAGGUGAUGCACACAGGACCCAGGCCCAUUCAGCAAAGCUGUGGAGAGUGAGAAAACCAGAUGCAGAUAGUCUGCUUUUCUGUGAUAAGCACUGUGCCUUAAUCCUGAAACAUGAGUCACUGACUCCUCCUUCCGUGCUUUGUGAAGCACAAAGACAUUGACUCUACAAGAUGUCUUUUUCUAAAGUGUAAUUAUAGAUGAUUUUUUAAACUUGAUGCCUAUAAAUUUUUUCACAAAUGAUAAUAAAAAUUUCUAGUGUCAACCAUGACUUGUGUUACAAGUUACUGCUUUGCUAUUGCUUUGUUUGGUUUCUGCCUGAUUUGAUCAGCUGUUUUUUACAGAUGCAUAAGACACAUAGAGAAUAUGUAGCAAGGCAAUUUUUUCUUAGUAGAAGUAUGCUAGAAGAUGUAUUUUUAUGUGGCUUUUAUAUGCUAAAUGAUGUAUUGCUAGAUGCAAGAAUGAUGUAUUUUUAUGUGGCUUUUAUAUGCUAAAUGCCAUUUUGUAUUCACUACAUUAAUCCCGCACAAAACAGGACACUCUUAAUGGCCUUAAUCAAUUAAUGAAAACUGUUGACAUUUAGAAUUUUCUGACCUCUAAAUUCAUAGAGCUAAGUGUGUACACUUAUCAUUAAUUUUAGAAACUUACACAAAGUAUCAGUAUAGCAGUAUUUUACAUUUUUGGAUCAGAAAGUAGGAAAGAUUUACAUUACUUGAAUAUUUUAAAAUACUUUUCAGGCUCAGAAGGCAAAACAGAAAAACCCGAAGAUACGGAGUUUUGGAUACAAACAUAGAAAAUAUGGAGCUGACCCCAUUAGAACAAGAUGAUGAUGAUGAUGAUACACUAUUUGAUGCCAGCCAUCCUCGAAGAGAAGUACGUGCCUUUCAGUGAAAGAACUUAAUCUUAGAACCAGAGAAGGAGACUGCUUCAUGGGAGAAAUAAGAAGCAAGAGGGUAUGCGAGUGGGGCGGAACUAAUUUAAUGUGUGUAUUUUAUGGCAUCCUUAAUAUCUUGCAAUAAGUAAUGUAUCAAUUUGUUGUAUCUUUUUUGUAUAUAGAGAUUCUCAAUGUAUAGCCUAUGGGGAGAGAAUACUAACUGCACUAAGAUAAAAAACCUAUUUGGAAGGGAGAUUACUUGUAAAACAGGCUGUUUUUUGCUUGUUACAAAUCUUGUAUGCCAUUAAGUAUGGUAUACACUUUUUUUCUACAGUAACCUGGAAUGUUAAUUUUUUCUUCUGAUAUUAAAUUGUAAAUAAAUAUAGCCACUGUGGACUUCCCUGAAUUGUUUGAACUUGAUUUUAAUUGAGGAGAUGAUUUAUUGUUUACCAAUAAAAAGCCAAACUACUGCCUUCUGUGUUGAGAAUUUAAAAAGCUGAAUUAACAUGUUUUGUGUAAACUUCAGUGCAAAAAUAAAAUGUGUUUACAGUGUUCCUAGCAUUUACUGUGAUACUCCAACACUAUACAUUUUACAUACUACAUCAAGGAUACUUGAGAUAUUAAUAUAAUUAUGUAAAACAUGGUAUUGCAACACCUUCUUGCCAUUGAGACUCCCAAUUGCAACUGUUGAGUUAAUUUUUGCCUGAGGUCUAUCUUCAGCUUGUGUGAGCAGAUGUGGUUCAGUGACUUUAGGCCGUUGUGGUGUAAUCCACAUGUUGUCAGUAUUCAGACCUGUAGUGAAACAGAGAUAAGCCUUUGGAAAAAUUCUAAAUGUUCUGUAACUGAAAUGAAACAUUGGCAUCAGAAGCAGCUGUUGCUGAAAUGUGUGGUAAUACUCACAUGAAUGUAGUUGACAUACAGCAGUUAUACUUAAUUUUUGUUUAGGCCCAUAAAAAUUAUUAGAACAGUCUUUAAGACCUGGAAGAUAUACAUUUUUUAAUGUGUUGCAGUUUCCACUGUAACUUUGAUAAUGUAGACAAAAUGUUAAAAUUCUAGUUUAUAAUUAAUGUAUAUUUGUUGCUAAUUCCAUAUAUCCAUAAAUAUCAAGGCAUAAAGUUGCUACAGCAGUAUUGCUGUGUGUGACUGUAUCCUCAAAAUGCCAAAGUUGUGGGCUACAGAGAAAGGGGAAUAAUUAUUCCUGAUUCUUCAUCCUCUUGGUGUUUGAACAAAACCGGAGUACUUUUCUUUGAGGUUAUUCCUACAGUGACUGGGUGGGGAGGGAGUCUGCUGUAGAUUUUCUUUACCUCUACUGGCUGAUUUGUUAUGUUGAAACGUUCUUACUUGAUAAUAGUAACAGCUCAGAUGAGGUCAAAUCAGCCUCCCAGGGUCAUUUUUACCUAUGGCUGGUGAUGUGCCACACACAGCUGGGAAAUAGAUUGUAUUUACAAUAAACACGAGUCUUUAUUUUGCAUCCUGUUGUAUCUAACUUUUUCUGCUUACGUUUAAAGAUAAAACACAGCACUAAUUCUUGGAACUGCUUCGUUGAGGAAUCUGGAGACAUAGUAAAGAAUAGGUUUUAGGGUAGUAGACUGCAAGGUGAGAGAACAGUAAAUGAUAGAAGGCAAAGUAUAUAUCAAGGGGACUGUCAGUGUUAAACUAAACAUAAUUGAAAUCUUUCAGAAAUACAGACUGUCUUCCUGACAUCCUAGAAUUUGUACCUGUAAAAUCUUUCUUCUGUGGACUUUGACCCACCCUGAGGAUGUGUUAUGCUUGUUAUGCACAGUAUUUGAACUGUUUAAGCAAGUUAAGAUCACUGGAAAUGCAAUCAGUCUUUAAGCUCUUGUAUGUGCUGCAGGUAAACCUUGAUGUUUUUCUGCAGAUAAAAUAAAAUGAAGCAGGUUAUUUAUGUUUCCAAGCAAAUUUUCUGGUGGGGAAAAAAAUCCAACCACAAAUUUUCUCAAAAAUUUUAUUUAGACUUCUUUUAUCCUUGCCUCCAAAAUGAUGAGGCUCUAUUUAUGGGUGAAGCAUCUGUAAAGCAAUCAUACAAUUUGUAAUAAAUUGAAACAGUUUUGAUUUCUGAUAUGUCAAAUACCAUGUAGUUGAUGGAGCAAGCUUCCUGGGCCUUAUUCAGCUUGGAUCUAAUUUUAGUAGCUGAAUUAGUUCUCAUUGCAUUUGCAGACACAAACUUAGUCAAAGAAUAAUCAUGGUGUUGUAUAUCUUGGUCUUAACAGUUGGAAAUUGCAGCUGUGAGUUAUGGACAUCCCCUCUCAAUAGGUACAACACUAUCAGUACCAUUUCCAACUACAUGCAAAAAGCUAUUCUUGGAGCUGUUCUAACAUACUUUUAAAAAUUUGGAAAAAAAUAUGCCACUGCAGAUGCCAGUAACCGACCCAUGCAUAAACCAAACUGAAGUUUAUAUCAAGCUUAUUUAUCACUUUAAAAUUUCAUAAAAAAACAAGAUUAAAAAGAUGAAGACAAAUAUUUAUGAAAUGUUUAACUGAGUAGCUGUGUAUGGAAAAUGUUAUCCCCAUUUGAACUAAAAUAUUAAUAGGCCAGUAAAGAAUGUGAGCUGAUCUGCUGUUGUAAAGCUCCUUGAAGAUAGGAGAUAGCCCAAGUUUAACGAGAAAUAAUCUGGGAGAGGCUAGCUUUCUUCUAGAACUUGAAUUUCUGAAGACAAAAAAUGGAAUAUGGAGAAAAAUCUUGGAAGAUUGAAAAGAAAUGUUUAAAGAUACUUUUACAAUUUUUACAGUAUUAAAGCUCUUACAGCAAAUCUAUUACUGUCAGGACUUUGUGGCUUUUUUCCUUCACUAGUGUAAUUUGAGGCCCAACUUGUACAAGAAUAUGUAGUUCCCGAUCAAAUCUGAAUGUAUUAGUUCACUACAUUGUUAGGAUAAUGGAGCAGGCACCCUGUGAUACCAUGAAUGGGUCUGAGCAUAAGAAAUCCAUAUGACUGAAGACACAAAGCAUUUUUAUUUUUCAUGUUGACCAGUAGGAGCCUGGAACAAUCUUUUAAUACAUAAGCCAACCGAAAAACUUGACCCAAAACGAAAGACCCAAUAUGAGUGGACUGCUUCACAGUUUCAGGAUAGACUUCUGUUUGCUGUGGUUGUUGUUUCAUGGUACUAUUGAUGAUGGUGCUUUCAUCAAAUUGUCAACUCUUAAACCCCUGCAGAAUUGAUCCAUGAGAUUUUUGUGUGAUUUUUCCCUGUCCACAAUUACUUGCCAUUUCCAAGUGGCUUGCACUCAAUUAACUUCUAUCUUGAAACAUUCUUAUUUUAAGGAACAAUUAAACAAGAAGAUUUCUUUGAGGUAUUAUCAUGAUGGAUGAGUAAGUUUAAGAUUUUAUUACAAGCUACAAGGAAGGUUCUUAAAUCAUGAAAUCUUUUUCAUGUAAUUUCCUGCUUCCUUCAGUUGGGAAAGUAUGAGCCUAUGUUUUUGACAUAAGCCUUUUCAGUGCUUACGGCAGUAUGCUUUGCACAAAAUGCAAAGCAUAAUAAUGUUUUCCUAAGUGAUCUGGACAUAUGAAUCAAAGGCACAUUAAGUAAAUUUGCUGUUGCAAUUAAUCUUAUCUGAGCACCUGGACUCCCUCAAGUGUAGAGAGACGUUAUAGAGAGAUCUGAGUAGACUAUGGAUAAUCUAGGUGUAUGUAGGUGUAUGAAGAUUGAAGAUUAUCCUAGACUAGGAUAAUCACCAGGAGUAUGAAAUCUAAUACAGACCAAGUGCUGGAUUCUCCAGCUGCAACGAGAUAAUAAUACAUACAGACUGGGGGACAAGAGGCUGAAGAACAGCCUUCAGAAAGAUAUCUGGGGAUUGGAGUUAAUGGCAGGUUGAACAUGAGUCAGCAGUGUCCUGGCUGCCAGGUGGGCCGACCGUGUCCUGGGAUGCAGCCGGAUGAGGGAGGGGCUUCUGCUCUGCUCUGUUUUGAGCACCACAGUAUGAGAAGGACAGAGAACUACUGGUUUGUUCAGCUUGGAGGAGAGAAGGCAGCAGGCAAGAGGGCAGCAGAGUGCGAGAUGCUGAUGUCUGUGCUGACCAGUGAAAGGGCAGAAUGGAUGUGAAUGAAGUUGCGUCCAGCGGAAUUCAGAUUGGACAUACGGCACAAUCUGAGUUCAAAAGUUACACCAUAGUUCCUUUUGAUACCUAUUAAUAUCAACGUAGGUAAUGGGCACUGUGUUUAUCAAUUUUCUUCCGUAAUCACCCUGUUUCAUAGAAACAAAGACUCAUUCAUGCUAACUUCAGAAAACUUGGUCCAUAAAGACAGAGGAUGAAACAGUACAUGUUCUCACUCAAGCAUUUCAUUGCUCAUUAUUUAAAGAAAAGUCAGUGUCAGUUGACAGCUGAUUGGAUCUUGCAUUGCAUAAAGAAAUACUCAUUUUUAUGAAACAAAUUCUUUAUUCUUUCCACAGCUUUUUCUUAAAAAAAGAAAAUAAAUCCAGCAAAAAGCCUGGAGGUAAGGUAAAUGGUGUUUAUGAGGAAUCUUAAUUAAACUUCUUCAAGACUUUACAUUAUUGAAAGGUCUAGAUGCCAGGUUUUGAAACUUGAGAGAUUUAAUGAGGAAUAUGUUUGCACUGAUACUACUCCUUUUACCUGCCUUGGUCAUUGUCCAAUAUGAGGUGUGUGACUGUGUGGAUUUCUCUUCAGACCAAACACAGUCAUUUUUAUUCUGUGCUCUGAUAGAGUCCAAAGACCUCUCAUCUUUCUAAACAGAAAACACAGUUUUAUGAAGACAUAAACCUGGUGAAUCAAAGCAGACAUAUAUACAUUAGCAUUUUUUUGUCAUGUUUCUGAAAGUUAGUAGUACACUUCCCAGUAAGAAGAUUGUUCAGAUAAGUGGUAAAAUUUAAUUCACAGUUUAACUGUCCUUUCUAUCAGAUCUUAAAUUUUGCUUUUCCUGAUAUGAAAUCUAAAUCUUGGUUUUAGUCAUUUUAAGCCUAUUUCACUGUAGCUACAGUUAAUAGUAAAAAGAACUUUGUCUUUUUGCAGAUUUGCCAUUUCUGUCGAGAUAAUUAUAUUGCCUCACCGUCUUGUCUAAACAAGACACCCUCAGUUUCUUUUGUUCUGUAUUGGUUUUGCAUUGUUUUUUGGUAAGAGGGCAUGCUACAGGGGUGGCUUCUGGGAGAAGCUGCUAGAAGCUUCCACUCUAUUCAGCAGGUUCGAUCCCUGGUGUCUACCGAGAUAAACGUGCUGCUGGCCAAACCUGGGCCAGUUAGAAAUGGUGAUAAUGCCUCUGUGAUAACAAACACAUUUAAGAAGAAAGAUAAACAAAAAGUUGUUGCACAGUUUUAAUUCCAGCCAGAGUAGAGCAGGGUGAGAAUAUGUGAGAAGAAAACUAUGCAGACAACAAGGUCAGUGGAGAAAGAGAGUGAGAAGGUGCACCAGGUGCUGGAGUUGAGAUUUGUUUGCAGGCUGUGGUGAGGACCAUGGUGAGGCAGCUGUGUCCCUACAGCCCAUGGAGGUCCUGGGGAUGUAGAGAUCCACCUGCAUCCCAUGCAGGAGCCCCCACAGAAGUAGGUGGAUGUCUGUGAGGAAGCUAUGAUCCUGUGGGAGACCUGUGGAGAGAGGGCCCUGCUCCUGUGCUGGAGCAGCCUGUCCUUGAGGCUGAGUGGAAGAGCGACCUUGCUGCAGCAAUCUGGGGAGGACAGCUGCCCCUGGGACUGUCCCUGUGGGCUCACACUGCAGCAGGGAGCUGCUGCUCAUGAGAUGGAGCCACGUCAGAGAAGUUCACAGAGAAGUGUCUCCUGUGGGAGGGGACCAGUGGUGCAGCAAUGGAGUGACUCCUCUUCCUGAGCGGCAGGAGAAGCCACGGGAGGUGAACUGAUCAUGACCCCCACUCCAUGUCUCCUUGCAUUGCUGGGGUAAGAGGUGCAGCUGAGAAGGAGGGAGGGGUGGAGGGAAGGUAGUUUCAAGGGGCUUGUUUUACUUCUCCUUAUCCUGCUCUGAUUUUUUUUAAUAGUAAUAAAUUCACUUCAUAUCCCUGAGUUGAUCCUCUUUUACCAAUGAUUGUAUUUGAUGAGGGGUCUCUCCUGAUUCUUAUCUCAACCCUGAACUCUUCGUUGUAUUUUCUCUCCUCUGUCCAGCUGCAGAGGGAAGUUAAUGAGCGGCUUUCACUGGUGCCUGGCAUCUGGCCCAGGUCAAUCCAUUACACCUCCUAAGAUAAUUAUAUUUGAUAAUUAUAUAUAGUUAUAUAUAAUUAUAUAGUUAUAUAAGCAUAUACCUUGCUUAGUAUGCCUCCAAAUCCUGCAUCUAAGUUAUCUGUGAAGACAUUGAAGGCCUGGAAUAGAGCCCUGUGGAACCCCACUAAUGACAGAUCACCAGCGUGAUGUCUCCCCAUUCACUGUCACUGGUUGUGCCCAACCCAUUAGCCAGGUGCUGUAUUUGUGAUGAUGUGUUUAUUCAGCUUUGUCCAGGACACCAAGGAAGACAGCAUUGAUGACUACUGAAAUCCAGAAAGAUGAUUACAUCAACUGACUUCUCUUGAUUGAUGAGGUGGAGAAUCUUGUCAUGAAUGGGUGUCAGAAGGACUUUGCCCUCAUGAACUCAUGCUGGCUGUGAAUGAUGACUGUGUUGUCCUUCAGGAGUUUCCUUGUUUCCUGCCAGAAGGAGAAAAUGAAUGAACUUUCAUUGUACACUUUUCCUCACACAUUCGCAUGAUUUAGGUCAUAUUCCAGGAUUUAAAUGUUUUUCUGCAUAAAGAGUAACUAGUUUUUUCUGUAGCUUUAUUUCAAAAUACCCACACCAAUUAUGUCUUAGGCCUUUAAAUGAAUAAAACCAAAUCAAUUUUCACAGAAACACCAGAAGUUCUUACUCUCACUCUAUAGCUAAGAUACCAAGACCAUGAGAAAUUAAAUUGUUACUGAUUUUAGUAAAUUUUCAUCAGUUAAAACAGAUAGAGAUGAUUUUCCAGGGUGUUGAAGCAUUUCAUAUGCUCUAUGUAUGUGCUAUAUUUUAAAUUUUUGUGUUGUAUGAACUUUCAUAGAGCCAGAAUCCUAAUUUGACUGAUCAGCAAAUGAGAACUACAUUGUGAAUGCCAAGCUGGACAAAUUUUGAGUUAAAACAUUUCUUUGACAUCACUUGGAAGCUCAGUGGCAAGCUUGGAGUGGAAUCAGUUUCUCUAGAGCUUUGGUCAAUUUUGUUUCCCUUUCUUUUUCCUUUUAAGCUUGAAAUAAAGCACAUAUGCCUGUAA